UACGUAGGGGGCAAGCGUUAUCCGGAUUUACUGGGUGUAAAGGGAGCGUAGACGGCAUGGCAAGUCUGAUGUGAAAACCUGGGGCUUAACCUCAGGACUGCAUUGGAAACUGUCAAGCUGGAGUGCAGGAGGGGUAAGCGGAAUUCCUAGUGUAGCGGUGAAAUGCGUAGAUAUUAGGAGGAACACCGGUGGCGAAGGCGGCUUACUGGACUGUAACUGACGUUGAGGCUCGAAGGCGUGGGGAG
rnacentral:rRNA from 1 species